rnacentral:tRNA from 1 species
GUUCUAAUAGUUUAAAUAAAACAAUGAUUUUGUAAAUCAUAGAUAGGCUAUCCUUUAGAACU